GUGGGGAAUAUUGGGCAAUGGGCGCAAGCCUGACCCAGCAAUGCCGCGUGAAGGAAGAAGGCCCUCGGGUUGUAAACUUCUUUUAUCAGGGACGAAGGAUGUGACGGUACCUGAUGAAUAAGCUCCGGCUAACUACGUGCCAGCAGCCGCGGUAAUACGUAGGGAGCAAGCGUUAUCCGGAUUUACUGGGUGUAAAGGGCGCGUAGGCGGGAUGGCAAGUCAGAUGUGAAAUCCAGGGGCUCAACCCCUGAACUGCAUUUGAAACUGUCGUUCUUGAGUACUGGAGAGGUUGACGGAAUUCCUAGUGUAGCGGUGAAAUGCGUAGAUAUUAGGAGGAACACCAGUGGCGAAGGCGGUCAACUGGACAGCAACUGACGCUGAGGCGCGAAAGCGUGGGGAGCAAACAGGA
rnacentral:rRNA from 1 species